rnacentral:rRNA from 1 species
GAUGAACGCUGGCGGCGUGCCUAACACAUGCAAGUCGAACGGACUGGAUGAAACCUAGUGAUUCCAGUUAGUGGCGGACGGGUGAGUAACGCGUGGGCAACCUGCCUCAUACAGGGGGAUAACAGAUAGAAAUAUCUGCUAAUACCGCAUAAGCGCACGGGAUCGCAUGAUCUUGUGUGAAAAACUCCGGUGGUAUGAGAUGGACCCGCGUCUGAUUAGCUAGGUGGUAGGGUAACGGCCUACCAAGGCGACGAUCAGUAGCCGGCCUGAGAGGGUGAACGGCCACAUUGGGACUGAGACACGGCCCAAACUCCUACGGGAGGCAGCAGUGGGGAAUAUUGCACAAUGGGGGAAACCCUGAUGCAGCAACGCCGCGUGAGUGAAGAAGUAUUUCGGUAUGUAAAGCUCUAUCAGCAGGGAAGAAGAAAGACGGUACCUGACUAAGAAGCACCGGCUAAAUACGUGCCAGCCGCCGCGGUAACAC